rnacentral:lncRNA from 10 species
AGUGCAAUACCAUAAACCUUGAAUAACACCAUGGGACCCAUAUGAAGGGCCACUAGGAAUGCUGGAAGUGCUCCCAAGAAGCAGAGAUCAGUCAUGACUUUACAAGAAGAAGUUGAAUUGCUCGAGUCUUGCUCUGUCAUCCAGGCUGGAGUGCAAUGUCGCCAGCUCGGCUCACUGCAACCUCCACCUCCCAGGUUCAAACGAUUCUCCUGCCUCAGCCUCCCGAGUAGCCGGGACUACAGGUAGAGACACUUUUGACUUGAUCUCUGCAGUCCUCAACAUGCCAUCUUCUAUCCCAAGGGCAGCCAUCUUCUAUCCCAAGGGCAGCCAUCUUCUAUCCUGAGGGAAGCUGGCCUGAGGAUGAAGCCAGAAUAUGGAGAAGAGGAGAAGGAGAUGGCUGAGAAGCAGAACGGAAACCUGAACUGCAUUUUUCUUAGAGCAAGAAUUACAUCAAUUCUUCAAGCCAAGUUGAGCACUGUUGGUUUCUGCUACUUGGAACUGAAUAAACUCUGACAGAUACUGUACAGGGAACAGUACUUGGGGAGCUCCACUUCAUCUGAGGCCUUCGUGAGUGGCUUGUGUCACAUUCCUGGCUGUUCAGGCAUCAGUCCUGGUUUCCUGGUGAGCUCUCUGCUGACUCCACCCAGAGCUCCCUUGCUUCCGUCUCUGCAGCAGCUACCUCCGUUCUCACACAUGGCUUCUUCUGA